rnacentral:rRNA from 1 species
UACGGAGGGGACUAGCGUUGUUCGGAAUACUGGGCGUAAAGCGCACGUAGGCGGAUUUGUAAGUCAGGGGUGAAAUCCCGGGGCUCAACCUCGGAACUGCCUUUGAUACUGCAAAUCUCGAGUCCGGAAGAGGUGAGUGGAAUUCCUAGUGUAGAGGUGAAAUUCGUAGAUAUUAGGAAGAACACCAGUGGCGAAGGCGGCUCACUGGUCCGGUACUGACGCUGAGGUGCGAAAGCGUGGGAGCAAACAGGG